rnacentral:rRNA from 1 species
UACGUAGGUGGCGAGCGUUGUCCGGAAUUAUUGGGCGUAAAGGGAGCGCAGGUGGGCUGUCAAGUCUGUCUUAAAAGUGCGGGGCUUAACCCCGUGAUGGGAUAGAAACUGGCAGUCUUGAGUGCAGGAGAGGAAAGCGGAAUUCCUAGUGUAGCGGUGAAAUGCGUAGAUAUUAGGAGGAACACCAGUGGCGAAGGCGGCUUUCUGGACUGUAACUGACACUGAGGCUCGAAAGCCAGGGGAGCGAACGGG